GGCAGAGGGUGCAAACGUUGUUCGGAAUUACUGGGCGUAAAGCGUGUGUAGGCGGCUACAUAAGUCGGAUGUGAAAGCCCCGGGCUCAACCCGGGAAGUGCACUCGAUACUGCGUAGCUUGAGUCUCGGAGAGGUUGGUGGAAUUCUCGGUGUAGAGGUGAAAUUCGUAGAUAUCGAGAGGAACACCGGUGGCGAAGGCGGCCAACUGGACGAAGACUGACGCUGAGACGCGAAAGCGUGGGGAGCAAACAGG
rnacentral:rRNA from 1 species